rnacentral:rRNA from 1 species
GGGGUGCAGCAGGCGCGAAAACUUUACAAUGCUGGCAACAGCGAUAAGGGGACCUCGAGUGCCAGGAUACAAUCUUGGCUGUCGCGAUGCCUAAAAAGCAUUGCAUAGCAAGGGCCGGGCAAGACCGGCGCCAGCCGCCGCGGUAACACCGGCGGCUCGAGUGGUAACCGCUAUUAUUGGGUCUAAAGGGUCUGUAGCCGGCCGGAUAAGUCUUUUGGGAAAUCCAGCUGCUCAACAGUUGGGCUUUCAGAAGAUACUGUUCGGCUCGAGACCGGGAGAGGUGAGAGGUACUUCAGGGGUAGGGGUGAAAUCUUGUAAUCCUUGGAGGACCACCAGUGGCGAAGGCGUCUCACCAGAACGGAUCUGACGGCAAGGGACGAAAGCUAGGGGCACGAACCGGAUUAGAUACCCGGGUAGUCCUAGCCGUAAACGAUACUCGCUAGGUGUCAGCCACGGUGCGACCGUGGUUGGUGCCGUAGGGAAGCCGUGAAGCGAGCCACCUGGGAAGUACGGCCGCAAGGCUGAAACUUAAAGGAAUUGGCGGGGGAGCACAAGGGCGAUUCGCG